rnacentral:lncRNA from 1 species
GCAGGCUGCUUACUGAAGAACCAGGCCUUUAGUUGGGUAAAGCCUUACAUCCCUCUCCGGAAGGAACACAGACAAGAAGUAUUUCACAAUACAGCUCAUGAGAGUUAUUCCUUGGAGAUACCCAAGGGGGUUAGAGGGGAAAAAAAAAAAAAAAAGGCUGAGAAUGAAAAACAUCUUUGGGAAGAUACUCAGAGCAAGAAGCUGCAAGAGCCAAAUGAGCCCUCACUGCCUCUUUCAGGAGUGGUUCAGUUACAGACUCAGAAGACCCUGCCAAAGUGGGUGGCAGAUGCAGAUACCAAGUCCACACUUACCAAAGAGCAGCAAAUGACUAUACGUAAAACACUCCACACUCGGUUGACGCAAUUAGAGGAGAAGAACAAUGAUUCAAAGGGAAUAACUUGUGUGUUUGAAGUGGGGGGGUGGUGAAAGAAAGCAGCCCCCCUACACACCCCUAAAGGGGGGAGGGAAGAAAAAAAAAUAUAUAUAUAUAUAUGUGUAUGUAUCAGCUACAACCUGAAAAUCGAAAGUUGGAGGAAAUAAACCUCCCUCCAAAAAUCAUGACGGCUUGCCCUGACCCCGGGAGGGGCAGCUCUCCAGUUUACAAUAGACAGUGUUGGAGUUCUUGCAUCGGCAGCCCGGACGAUUGACGCGGUCGUAACACCCUCGACACAGUUUUAGGCAUCCUUUUGCAGGAGGGUAACAGAGCAAGCAAGGCAAAAACAAGGACAUGGCUCCCAUGCACAGGUACCUAGAACAGCAAUGUGACUGGGAGCAAGAGCAGGGAUUAUCCGCGUAUGAGUCCCCUUCAUCGUCGUUAGAACAGUGGUAGAAGAUCCCUUUGACCAAACACAUGCAGGUGCCAUACUCCACCAUGCUCUCCGCGGAGCACAAGCACUGCCGAUUGCAGGCCAAGCAAGAAGGCAAGGCCCUCGGGGCUGUGCACUCGCCGCAUUUGCACUUCCCACACUGUUCGCAGAUAAACUUGUGCUGUGUCAAGUCCUCUUUCAAAGGACCCUUCAGAUCAUCUACAAUCAACGACGACUGCUUGGGUUGCGUCUGGAUUGUCCGCUCGGACCUGUGGCCUCCUGAACCCGGCCACGACGGCGGUGACCGUCCCAACAGUCCUUGCUCUGAAGAAGCACUGCUGUUGCUCCCAGAGCUGGCCGCGCUCCCCGUGCUGGUUGAUCUGCUCAAAACAGGAACCCUUGCAUUAUGCUGAUGCGCCACGUGCCCCACGUGGCUGGGUCUGUGUUCAUAGUUGUUAUUCACAUUAAUCGGUAUGAUUUCAUGAGUCCUCUCGUGCUUCUCUUGCCUCGGUGCUGUCCGCGGACCGGAUUUUUUCACCACAGAUGGACCUUCAGUGUAAUCGUUGCUGCCGCGGAUCGCCUUGAUCUGGUCCAGCGACAAGAUAGCUGUAGGCUGGCUGUCCCGCUCGUACUCCAGCCUCUGCCGGCUGUCCAGAGAGGGCUGCUGAAUCACCACCAGCGAACCACCACUGCCGUGCUGGCUUUGGGGCUCCAUCUGUAGUGAUCUCUACUUCUGGCAUUCAGCAGGAACCUGGCAUGCAUCUGAAAUCCUGAGGGCGAGGAGGCAGCCCGCUUCCCGAGGCACAUUGGCGGCCGCGGCGCGGGGUCCAGCCCGGGCAGUGCAGGCAGCCGCGCGCCGCUCCGCGCCCUCCCGGUCCCGCCGCCGUGCCGGAGUGAGGGCGGCCGCGCUCCGCCGCCUUUCAGCGCGCAGCCCCCGCCCGCCGCCCGGCCGCGCCCCCGUGAUGUCAAUGUGUCACCGCGCGGCGCCCCCGAAAUCCCGGAGUGGACUCCCGCGCCCUCCCGGGAGCCGCUCCCGCCGCUCGAGCCGAGGUCACGGCCGCCGGCCUCCCGCCUCCUUCCUUCCCUC